rnacentral:rRNA from 1 species
AGUGAACGCUGGCGGUAGGCCUAACACAUGCAAGUCGAACGGCAGCACAGUAAGAGCUUGCUCUUACGGGUGGCGAGUGGCGGACGGGUGAGGAAUACAUCGGAAUCUACUUUUUCGUGGGGGAUAACGUAGGGAAACUUACGCUAAUACCGCAUACUACCUACGGGUGAAAGCAGGGGAUCUUCGCACCUUGCGCGAUUGAAUGAGCCGAUGUCGGAUUAGCUAGUUGGCGGGGUAAAGGCCCACCAAGGCGACGAUCCGUAGCUGGUCUGAGAGGAUGAUCAGCCACACUGGAACUGAGACACGGUCCAGACUCCUACGGGAGGCAGCAGUGGGGAAUAUUGGACAAUGGGCGCAAGCCUGAUCCAGCCAUACCGCGUGGGUGAAGAAGGCCUUCGGGUUGUAAAGCCCUUUUGUUGGGAAAGAAAAGCAGCAGGUUAAUACCCCGCUGUUCUGACGGUACCCAAAGAAUAAGCACCGGCUAACUUCGUG